AGCAGAGUAGGGGAUCAGGCGUUAAGUGCCGGCUGGACAGGGAGUUGCCAGCCGGACGAAAAAGAGAUUUUCAAAAACUUCUUUGCGGUCGGUUCCCCGCAUCCCGCUGCA
rfam:Clostridium sp. CAG:299 genomic scaffold, scf288